ACUCGACUCUCGGCAACGGAUAUCUCGGCUCUCGCAUCGAUGAAGAACGUAGCGAAAUGCGAUACCUGGUGUGAAUUGCAGAAUCCCGUGAACCAUCGAGUCUUUGAACGCAAGUUGCGCCCGAGGCCACCCGGCCGAGGGCACGCCUGCCUGGGCGUCACGC
rnacentral:rRNA from 1 species